rnacentral:misc_RNA from 1 species
UGUAGGAGCCGGCUUGCUGGCGAUAGGUCCCUUGAACCCUGCAUCGAUUUCAAGGACGCCAUCGCCAGCAAGCCGGCUCCUACA